UGCCGGUAGAUUCUUGUCUUCCAUCGACCCCAAACCCUUCCAUCGAGGCGAACCUGGCGGCGUCGGGUCGGUUCUCUGGCUAUGACGUCUUCGAUCUGCGGGCCGUGCACCAGGUCGCCCUAGCCGUGCCGCUUCCGGCCCAGAUGGAUUACGCCCGUGGCGACGAUGGAGGUGGCAGCGAGUUGAUUGCUGCUGCUGAUGAGCAGGUCUUGUAGCAGUACCACUAGCCGGAUUACAGCGGUGGCCAUAGGAUGGAAACACAAGUGCCGUCCUGCCCCAGGCAGGUGGUAAUCAGCUGAACACUGUUGUUCUAGGGAGACGUCUGCAUCUUUGAUUCUGUGUCACCUGAAAAGGUGACAAUUCUACUAAAUAGGUUCAGGUCGUGCUCUUGUUGCUCGAGGGCCGGGAGAUGAACGCUGAAUUGAGUCCUUUUCCAUCAUCUUCUAUGCAGAACAUGAAUGCAGUGCAACAAGGGUCAACUUAUGUCAUGAAAGUCAAAACCUGAAGAUUCUGCUUCUGGUGAUACCAUUUUGGAUGCUAUCCAAAAUUGAGGUUCAGAAGAGAUUUGGAUGCUACCCAAAAGGAUCUUUUGCAUCAAAAUAUUUGAUGCCUUUACCUCCAUUGGUGGAUCUAGGGGAAGAUAUCAUGUUUUCACAUAGCCAAGUGGACCUUAACAUACCUCUAUUGGAGAAUUUUCUGCUGAUGGAGCAUAAUUGUUUCGGUUGUAAUAAAGGUUCUAAAAUGUCUGGAUGUCAUCUAUGUGGUUAAAGUGCUGCGUAGCACAUUAAGCAUCAUGGAGGGCAUAUAUGUGCAUAUCGUAGAGGAAAUGAAUGUGCAUAAUUUUGAUACGGAAGUAGUCAUGAAUGAGCCAACAAAGGAGGUGCUGGUGGACGGAUUAGGAGAGGAUUAGAUGAUCUACUGCCAUUCUUCAUCUUUUCAAUCAAGAAUCUGACCCAUAAUUUCCACUGGCUAUACUUGUUGCUCCUCUGCUUUCCUAACCUAAUGAAAGUACUCAACAGUAUUAUUUAGGAUCUGAUGUAAACUCAUAUAUGACUGUAACAUACUAAGAUGUUGUUCCAGAUGCACAUCGUAGCAAACCACAUCUCUGGUGAUCAACCAGCUAAGGGGAAACUACAUAAUUCAGUCUGGUGCACAGCUUAUGUUGCUUUGGCAGCUGCUUUCCGCGAGGACACACUAUGUUUUCUUUCAGGAUGAAAUAUUGGUGCAUGUUACUCUGACCUGCAGGGAAUACUCUCAGGGACCGCGGAAAAAUUUGAUUCCAGCUACGCCAGAUGCCUAGUUGGAACCAAAUGAAGCAGUUAUAGUUAUGGUUGUCUUCCUGUUUCGAGACUCUCGAUUCUCCUCUCUCAGAACAACACUGCUGAAGUUGGAAUUGCCAAAACCUAUCGUAUCACUGUCAAUGGUCACAAUUCAUCAUGAGAGACUGCCUACUGGAAUAGGGAUGAAGUGAUGCAUCAUCACUUGUGAACUCAGCCAAUUAUACUUUGCCAGGGAAGCUUCGAUGCACUGCUUUAUGGCAUUUAGCCACCGAGAGUACUCGAGAGCUUUUAGACUUGGCUGGUAAACUUGCAGAGUCCAACCAAGUUAUUACAUUGAUUGCUUGUCAUGUUAUAAAGUUGCUAAACUAGUUCAUAUAUAUAAUCAUCUUUAUUAUUAUUAUUAUUAUCCAGUCACAGUUUAUUUGUCAUGUCAGCAAAGUUUGAUAAAUCAUACCAAUUGACUUUUUUUGUUUGUUCUCAAUGUCAUUUAUAGUUGUCGGAAUUUAACAUUCAAAGUAUAAGUUGACUAAACUUUUUAGAGUGCAUUGUUGUCCUCUCUAUCAUUUAGAGUUUUAGUGUAGAGAGGCAUAAAAAUAGAAAUCUAUGGUACUCAAUCAAAAUCAUGAUUUGUUAUAUGUGCACAAAGUCUUCCUGUAUGAGCUCUUCCUCAAACAUUCUCCACACACU